AAAAGGGGGAAACAGGCCAAGCUGAGGACAAAUACUAUCAAAGAUUGCUACAAAGAUGAAAAAAUGCAACUUCAGGAAAUGAAUGCCUUAUUCUGAUCCAUAUGAAAAACAGUGAAGGUUAGCACCUUUAUAACUUCUAGCAGUACAUCUAUAACCUCCAGCCUUAAAAGGCAAAAACAGUGUCUUCAAGAUGCCAUUCUUCCUGAAAUUCUUUCUAACGGUAGAAUUAUUUUUUGCAAAACCAAAACUAAAUCAAUGGUACCUUUAUUUGCACUAAGAUCAUGAGAAAAAAAAAAUUCAUGCCUAACCAAUUUUUCCACUUUUAAAUGUCCUAUUUCUCCGUUACAAUAUUCUUAUGCUUCCUAAU
rnacentral:misc_RNA from 1 species